AACUUUACAGGUUCAAUCAAGGUCAAGGUCAAAUAGGAAAUAACCUGCUUGUAACACACAGUCGAACAAAUACGUUUGCUAAAAUGAAGUAUUCUUUGGAAGAAGUCAAAGAAUUGAUUCAUUCUCAUGAUCCAAAUAACUAUUUAGCAAUUGCUGGGGGAGUCCUAGCUGCUUCAGCCCUAACGUAUGGCCUGUGUAAGAAAAUAAUUGGAAAAAGAAGAAAAAAAGUUAUCCCUAAGGAUGUUGUGAUUGUUCAUGGUUGUGGGAGAGGACCCUACUGUCCAAGUCUAUCUCCCUUCUGUCUUAAAGUUGAAACUUACUUGAGGAUGACUAGAAUACCAUAUCAGAGUGAUAAAGAUCUUGAGAUGUCAUCUAAAGGCAAGAUACCAUGGAUUGAAUAUAAUGGAGAAGUUGUUAACGAUUCUUCUUUCAUCAUCCAAUAUUUUAACAAGAAGUUAGACAUCGAUGUUGACAAAGAUUUAACGGACAAAGAACGAGCUAUAUCCAGAGCCUUUCAAAAAUUAAUAGAAGAAAACCUUUUAUGGUGUUUAGCGCUGUCUAGAUGGGUUUAUGGUUAUACAGAUAACCGCUGGAUAGGUUUCGGAUGGCUUAUACCUAAACUUAUUCGACGAACUCUUGCCAAGAAUGCCUGGGCAGCUGGUAUUGGUAGACACACCCAAUCAGAAGUCGAACACAUUUUUGACGAUGACAUGAAAGCCUUAUCUGAUUAUCUAAGUAGUAAAGAUUUUAUGAUGGGUAGUGAGCCUACAGAAAUAGAUUGUACAGCAUUUGGUAUGUUAGCACAAAUUUUGUGGCACAGUCCUCAACAGCCGUGUGAAACGUGGAUAAAAGAAAAAUAUCCCAAUUUACAGGAGUACUGUAUUCGGAUGAAAGAUUUAUUUUGGGAAGAUUGGGAUGAAUGUAUUACGCAUGGUGGUACAAGGGAGGCUACUCAUUAAUGGAUAUUGGAUACAGACCACAGUAAUGUAGUUAUGUUAUAGAUUGUUCUUCAGGAACAAAAAUAUAAAGUGCUAGUAUGUUAAAUUUGUCUGAAAUUGGGGACUGUCAAUACUAUUUCGGUUGCAGCAAUAAAACAAUUGGUUCAUAUAUUUAAAGAUUCUUAUUGGAUUUUCAACUAGUGUGGUCUGAGCCCUGAUGUGGACUAACAACGAAAGUGUGAUAGUAAUAUAUAAUACACUUUAGAUUAAAUAAUUUAUCCAAAUAAUGUUCAUAAGAUUUAUCAGAGAAUUUAUUGACAGUCUCCAUUUUAGGAUAGUGUGCUUUAGUUUAGAUAAUAUAACCAAAUAAUGUUAUUAAGAUUUAUCAGAGAGUUUGUAGUAGAAAUAAAAUGUGUUCUUUUUAAUGGGUAUUAAUUUGUAGUAUUUAUAGAUUAAGUGAUACAUAAAACUUGCUCAUAAUCGUGGAAUGGAUUUUAUUUUGCCAGAAUUUAUGUAUGAUGUUUUUUUGUUGUUGUUGAAUGGUCAGAUAAAAUGAUUCUAAAACAGGUUAUCAUUAAAUUUCAAAUUCUAACAUUUUCAUUGCUCAAGAACAUCUACACUGCUUCUAUUGUUCAUUUACCUGUUGGAAUAAUAUUUACCUUUCUGCUUUAUUAAUAUAACAGCUUAUUGUCCUUAUAAAUUAGUUUUCGUCAUUUUCUUUUUAUCUUUUGUAUUUUAUAAGGACAAUUUGGCUGAAUUUUAGGUUCAGAAAAAAUUUGGCUUAAUUUUAGGUUCAGAAAAAAUUUCGUAAAAGUGUAGAGUGAAAUCUGAAAUUAAAAUUUAUUCUGCAUUUGAACAGAAAAUACGCAAUGAAAACUUAAAACUGAGUCUUACGAAAUUAACUUACUACAUAUUGUCUUGACAUUUACGUCUCUUAAUUAUGAUUUUAUGGUGCUUAGCUUAGAAACUGCUGGAUUAAAUCAUGCACCGCUCCUAAAUAUCUUUGAAAACUUGUUACAUUGAAAAAUCUGUGAUCGAAAUCUCUCAAUCAACUGAUUAUACCAAGUUGCAGGACGACAACUUUUGGUUAUCGUUCGUUUCAAGUAGCUACUGUUAGAAGGUGGAACUCAUUACCUAUUAAUCUUAUUAUCGUUAUUCAAGGAACUUUUAAAAACUCAUCUGUUUUAAACAAGUUAUAACUAUUAAACAUGCAUUAUGCAAGAGCUAAAUCUGCCUAUUGCAGGUCUUUCUUUAGGCCUGAAAUGUUUUCUAAAGUAUUAAUUAGACAUUAAUUAACUUUUCCAGGCCUUAAUCAACUCUCGAUGGCAUCAGAUUUCUCCGAUAUUAAAUAGAUUAGAAUGGUUCAGCGAUACUUUGAUUUAAUCAAAUAUGGAGGACCGAGACUUAACUUCGAUCAACCAGUACAGUGGUUGAAAUUAUUGCACACGUUUGACAAACCUUCAAAGGCUAAUAUCUUUGCUUGCAAUAGAGUAAUUUGAAUGAAAUUUUCAAAUUAUUCAUUUUACAUCAUCUACUUUCAAACUAUUAUAGCAAGAAUGGCUAGUUCUUUAUCUAAAUCUUACAUAAUGUAUCUUUAACUGAGAGCUAAAGAUUUUAUGUAGAUAUAUUUUGUCAAGCGCUACGAACACAAUUUUUAUACGUCACCCCUGUCCGCCCAUAAACAUAACUUUCUGGAUUAUUGCCCCUGAUUGUACAAAAAAUCAUAUUUGUUUUCAGCUUGUUCUCUAUCCAUCUCUUCAAAAUGUGGGCGUAUCCUGGCUGACAGCUGCUGGUUGAGGAGUUUGGCUUUAUAGAAAUACUAUAAUAUCAAAUAUUUUGAGCAGCAUUUUAACACAUAAAUGUUACGGUUUUAAAUUAAAAAUGACAAAUUGACAUAAAGAACUGUAUAUUAUCAAAUAUCGAUUUAAAUUAUUGUCAUAUAUAUACAAUCUCUCAAACAGAGUUGUCUUCCCUUGCAGUCCACAUUAUGUGACUAAUGCUGGAUAAUGAGACUUGUGGUGGAUUUGGAUCGAUCAUGAUACCCAAAAAUCACCAUGCUUUGUAGAUUAUUAUUCAAACAUUUGAAUACUGAUUUAACAGAAAUAUAAUUGUAAACAUAUGGAUUUAACAGAAAUAUAUUUGUAAACAUAUGGAAACAGGUUAUUCACAAGUAUCUAUAAUAAUGUGACUGUCAUUUGUUUGUCUGUCUGUUCAGGGUUGUCGGCUACUAGGGCUGUUCCGAGGCUAAAGUUUAGUGUAUAGAGAUAGCUCGGACCGGGUAGUAACAUAGACCAGGUGGCAUUGGCCUACUGCUCAGAGUUACGGGCACAACCUGGGCAGCACCCGGUUAUCCGCUAUUAUUUCAUAGAUUAAAGAUUUGAUGCGUCAUUUAGCGCUAAAUGAAUCCCAUGUAAAUUACAAUAUUAUAAAAGUUGAAUCUCUAAAUAAGAAUAUCAGUCCAAAAAUAGUUCAAUUUCAUUCAGUUUUUACAAAGUUAUGACUGAUUGAAAUUUCAUUGAUUUAUACUGCUUGAGCAGUAUUGGUACGGAAAACCUGGCCCCGAUGUUCACAAUUACCUAGCAUCUGGUAGUUUUGUUUUGUUUUCUUAAUUAAAUGUUAAAUUAUUAAUCUGAGUACAUAUUUAAUAUGGAUCAGGGGUGUGCUGGCUCCAAAGGGGCCCGGGAGGACUGGUCCCGAAGGGGCCCAUCGUUCGCCGAAGGCGCGCCGCUGGUAGGGGGGUCUUUGGGGGCUCUCCCCCCCAGAAAAUUUUUGAAAUUUGACGACGGGAAAACCGUAUUGCAAGCACUUCUGGGAGAAAUCUAGGUAUCAUAUUUUCCAAAUUUAUGCUGCUAUUUUGACUAUAAGACAUACUACUGUACUACACAAGACACUCAUGACAGGUCUGCUUAAUAUAAUGCUAAUACAAUGUAUUUCUAUCCAAAUAAUAAAUUGCAUCUUAUACAUAUCGAAGCAUGAAUACAUGUAUCAAAGACCAUUUCACCUUAAGGUGACAGACAUUUGCAUGUCAGCAUAAUAUAUUUUACUAAUCGUUGUGUAUGUAUGAUUUUUCGCGUGCGCACUCUCAAUUUUUUGAGGGGAUUCUGCGUGAAAAUUAGAGCUCUCAGGGGGGCCGCUUAUACGGGUGGACUUAUUGUUUAAUGGGGGCCUGGGAGGACACCGUCCUCCUAAACUCCCUGCCAGCACGCCCCUGAUAUAGAUUAAGCUAGGAAAUUGCAUAAUGCAUGUUUAAUUAAAUGUUAAAUAAUUUAUCUGAGUACAUAUUAAUCAUGGAUUAAGCCAUGAGAAAUUUGACAUUUUAGUGAAAAUUUAAUUGACCAUCAAGCCUUCAAUAAUAUCUUAUGAUAUAAUUUUUAUACAUUUUGUUUAUUUCUUUGAAAGCUAAUUGCUUUGAAUGUAAGAUUUAAAAAUGGUAUGUGAUCUUUUGAAUUAGGUUUUGAUAUCUAUGCCUUUAUAUGAUAUAUAUAUACAAUGAUACAUAGGAUCUUUCUAUUGUUUUUUGUUAUAUGAAAUCCUUUUAUAAAUAAAUAUAUAUUUUUCUUC